CGGUAACAUGAGUAGACAAUUACUUGAUGACGAGUGGCGCGACGGGUGACGUAACACGUAUGACAAUCUUAACCUUUAACAGGUAGAAUACGACCCGAAAGAAAGUUCGGUAAUUAAAACACCAUAGUAUUGAUUAGUGGCAUCACUGAUGAAUUAAAACUCCGGUGGUUAAAGAUGAGCAUGCGCGACAUUAGCUGGUUGGUGAGGUAAUGGCUCACCAAGGCGACGAUGUCUAGGGGAUCUGAGAGGAUUAACCCCCACACUGGUACUGAGACACGGACCAGACUCCUACGGGAGGCAGCAGUAAGGAAUAUUGGACAAUGGUGGGAACACUGAUCCAGCCAUGCCGCGUGCAGGAUGACUGCCCUAUGAGUUGUAAACUGCUUUUGUACAGGAAAAACCCUCUUUACGUGUAAAGAUCUGAUUGUACUGUAAGAAUAAGGAUCGGCUAACUCCGUG
rnacentral:rRNA from 1 species